rnacentral:lncRNA from 1 species
UGUAAUUCAUAAUUGGCUGCAUGAAACGGUCGGCGGAGUGUUGGUCAAGUGAUGAGCAAGUGUUUGUAGAAUAAUCUCCACAUCAAUGCUUUAUUAAAUGCACAUUUAUAACAAAAAAAAAAAAAAAAAAAAAACGAUUGCGAGCAUAAACACUGAAAGAACAUAAAAUAAAAUAAAUGUGAAACCGUACAAAAACAGUCAAUUUGCCCCAG